ensembl:lncRNA
CCUCCCUUUAAUUUAACAUUCACAGUGGAAGAAGGGGUUUCUGAUUUCAAUUUGAUCCUUCAAAGUGUAACUAAAGGCGAUGAAGCAAACUAUUUUUGUCGACAACGAUUUUCUGAAAGUUGGACUAAUGGCAUUUUUCUGUCUGUCGAAGAUCACAAAAUCACGACGGAUGAAGAAAAGCAAGAUAAAACAGGUUAUUACAUUCCACUUCCUACUUUCAGGAUAUCUGACUUACUAACUAAUUAAUGUUUAUCAACUAUAAUAUAAAUAUUGUUCAUCAUUUAUUAUUUUAGGUGACAUUAUCUUACCUUCCAUACUAUUCUGCAGCUUCCAGAUAACCCAUUGUAGAUUGUCUGAUUCUAGAAUCCUACAGGAAUCUGGUUUCCAUGGUGCUUGGAAUACUGUUGGCUUGCUGUCUGUUUGUGAUCAUAAUCUUCUUUCUAUCCAGAAAUAAAAAACAAGUUUGUGAGCAUUGCAAAGGUACAGUACAUUCUACACUAAUAAGCUUUCUGAUGUGACCUGAUAUGACCUCAGGACAGGUUGGAGAUCCCCAUCCUGAAUCUAUGGCAUAUUGUAUUUUGCAGAAACCUGCUGCAGUUUUUUUAAUUGUUGAUUAUUAAUAUUUUUGGUGAAAAUAAGUAAUUACUAUAGUUUUUUAAGCCUGACCGAUAAGAAUUGCUACAAACAAUAGCAUGAAAAAAGUAAUUAUUCUUCUGUUCUUAUCUUCAGAAACACUGAGUUCCUCCUACCAUGUGGCAAAUGACUCAGGGAUUCAGGAACAACAGGACAGGGAAACGGGUUCCUUGAAUUACGCAGCGUUGGAUUUCCCUGGCAGGAAAACCAAAAGGGGGAAAAAGAACAGUGAACGGACUCAGGAGAGUCUGUAUUCUGAUGUGAGAGAAACCCGCCACUAAAGUCUAUUAACCAGGGAGUCUGUGUCCCCUCAUGAGGCUUAAGUAAUGAUUUUGGCACGUUGUGAUGUCAGUUUGGAUUGAUGAAUUUGAAUGUUGUGCUAUGGUUGUUGAUGGAAAUAAUCUGGACCAUUUUAUUUUUAUGGGUAUAUGUAGACUGUUUAUAUUUAGUUAUGUUGCUUUGAAAAUAUUUUAUAUUGCAAACACACGCAUGUGGCCGCAUAACUAAAUCUUGAUAAACAUAAUUUUUAAUGUGCCACCAAUCUCAACUAUGAUUGCUGAGGUUGCUUGGCAACCAUUUGCUGGCUUGAGGCACAAUGUUGCUUUGGGGGAGAAUUAUGAUUUGUUUUCAAUAAAUUAUUGCACUUGAA